CCUGCUUAGGAGCAGCCUGUGAACUGAGGAGUGGUGUGUGUCCACCGCCAGGCACAGGGGAAGCAGAAGCACCUGAGGGCUGAGGAGGAAGCAGGGCCAGGGCAGAAGAGGUGCCCGGGUCCCCGUCCCAGCCCGCGGGGUGAAGCCGUGCAGAGCAGAGCACGGCUGGCGUCCACCGCAGGAGGCCCCGAGCCCUGCUCAGUUCUGGCUGAUGGUGGUGCUGGGAACUGAACCUGGGGCCUCGGAGCCUCAGGCAGGAGAGUUUUUUGCAGAACCGCUGUGCUGUCUCCGCAGGCCGACACACUUACUUCUCGGAAGUACUUGCUGGAUUGCCUGUAGGCUCCUGAAGCCACACACAAGCUCGCAGGUGUGGAGGGUCCCAGCUGUGACUGGGUGGCCCAGCUGAGCAGCACUUUGAACUCCCAUGAGAAGACUUCCCGUGAGGGGGAAAAUGAAGGCAGAUCUACAGUUGGAGUCUGGUUUUAAUCAGAAUGUAAUCUUAGGGGACUAUGUCAGGCUGAGAAUUUUUAAUCUGAUAUUUUUAAAGGAAAAAAAUUCCAUGUUCAAAAAAUGAUACAAACCAAUCCACCUUCAAGGAGUGAUGGGAAAAAGAAAUCUCUUGCAUCUGAGAG